rnacentral:misc_RNA from 1 species
GAAUCUUGUAUGGCAAAUAAGGUUUAUUUUCUGGUUGAAAGCGGUUUUUCAACUAGAGGAGUGGAGUUAUAGUGAAGGUGGUGCUUCAUUCUAUGGGAAGAAAUCUUUCUAAGUGGCAUGCUAGUCUGUCAUUAUUCUUGGUUGGAGCACAUACCCAUGUUAUUUCAACUGUUGAAUUAACUCUGAUUCAGUUUUGAAGAUGGUUAAAUUUAGUAAUUGGAAUAUGAUAUUAACUUCACCAACUAAUUAAUGUGACAGAGAAAAAGGUUUUGGGAAUGAGGUUGAGUGCCCAACAGGCUGAAGAAAAGGAAAAGACAAGCAGCCAGAUUAGAUGGUGGGUGAUAGAGUAUGGAAUCACAAUUCACAGUGCAGCAAUUAAAGUAAGAAAACAAAGGAAAACAGAGCAGAAAUGGCAGCAAGAGAAGAAGAGAAUUUUAUUCAGCAAAACUGUUGGAAAAUGGAGGCUCAAUGCCAUGUUGAAAAUCAAAGAGGGAGAGCACAAAAUAUUUUUCAUCAAAGAUAAACAACUAUAACAAAAUAGAGAUUAAAGAUGGAGAGAAAACAUGAACUUCAAACACAGAUUUUGUUUUCUUCUUCAUUUUCUCUCAACACUCCACACGCUCUACUCCCUCACUUUCUCUACACAUCACUCUCCAUUUUAUAGGCAAAGAUGCUCCAAAUAUGGAGAACCUCUCCUUUUCAACAAAAACACGUCGCAUCAAAACAUUUCCUUUCCUUGCACACAUAAUUUUCCACCAAAUAUUCCCAAAAGCUCAUCAAAUCCAACAAAACCCGAAAGGGUCCAGUGGAACAAGAUAAAAUUAUCUCCCUCACACCCCAACAGUAAAAACCUACUGCCCCCAAGCUAUACUAGCUGGAAAUUACGUACUCAAUACCAAUUCCCAUCCUCUUCCUGUUUGUAUUCUCUCUUUAUAUGAACAGUUGAUGUGGUCACAUGGGCUUCUGGAUUUGGCUCCACCUGAUGUGCUUUUAGCAGGAUAACUUCCGGAGAACCUUCUGGAACACUCAUAGCUGCUUGGGAACCUUCUAGAACCUUUCUAGUGCCUUCUAGAAUAAGUGAUCCAGCUCCUUUUUGUUCUCCCCUUCGGUUCAGGUUGCUGCCUAUCUGUAUCAAUAAGACAUCAGCACAGUUGCCCUGCACUUUCCAUAUUACUGGAGAAUGAAGAUCAAAUUGAGAAAUCAGAAGUAUGUGUUCUCUGCUUCCGUGCACAUAAUUUGUGAGUCUUCUGUUACCAUUGUUCAUCAUCAUCAUUAUUAAUGGAAUAUAUCAAAUUAUAGAUAAAAGUGUAUAUCCAUAUUGAUAAAAGAACUGGUGCACGGUUGUAUUCGCAUGCGUUCUUUCAACUUUUCAUAGAUCAUCAAGCUAAAUGCCUUAACCGGCUUUUUUCAAUGUUCAGGUUCACUUCUUUGCCUUGUGACAUUUCGUACUUACAUAUAAAAUACUGCAGGAUAGUGGAAAAAAUAAGAAAGAGAAGACAGGGAUGUCAGUGGUUGACCUGGGUUACUGACGGGCUAAAGUAGCGAAGGCUGUGAUUCUGAUGAGGGCACUAGAUGCCGGCAAGAUUGUGCAAAUUGCUGGCAAGAAAUCAAAGCGUCCUGAAAGAACCCAAUCAAGGACUGAAGAGUUGCGGGAAAGAUUCCAAAGUGACGUCACUGAUAAAAAGAGGAAGAGAGCAAUGGUGGAAUGGGAGGCAAAAAGUCCAAGAAUUCAUUUAAGAGCAAAUCUCGGUAUGAAUCAAAACUAAAAUUUCUCCCUUUCUGGUUAUGAUGUUGCGUUCCAAGUUAUUCUAUGCUGUUUCUUGAAGAAUAGGUUAAAAAAACCAAGUUUGAUGGUUAAGCUAUUACUUAAAUCUCCACGAACAAUUUAUUAUGUGAUGUUCAUGAUCAUGGGGUUCAGAUGGAAAUAUGGUUUUUGAUAUAACGAGUUUCCAAAAAAUAUAGAAAACCAGAACUUCAUUAAUGCAGUUAAACCUGCCCUAGUCAGUCUUCAGUCCCUAUGGCUAAGAUUAUCUUCAAACCCCCAAACCUCAUAUAUAAGCUCACUGGGAAGUGUAAGAUAACAUUGGAAGGUUCUUUAUUUUCUAAUUCACUUCUUGUGCCAGGAUCUGCUAAUUACUCAUGGUCGAACCUGGUUUGCUGAUAUUUUAAGCAUAAAACAUGAUGAUUGUUGUUAUAGUUGAUAUCCACACUAUCAUAUGAUAGCAGUCUCCAGAUUAACUGGAUAUUGGAGGUAGUACGCCAAUUUUUGAUGCAAGUGAGAAGAUGUUUGUAUCUCUAUUUUUGUCACAAGUAGCUACCUUAGCUUUACUUAUCAUGAUAAAUGUCAUAGAUUACUUUCCUAUAAAGAUUAAGACGAGAUGCUUAUCUUUGUUCCUUUCCUUUUAUCAUCUAUGUCAAUAUUGUUAACUAUAAGCGCAGGUUGCACUGUCCACUGUGAAGUCUCGGCUUAACAAAUUUUUAUCUACCUCA